rnacentral:lncRNA from 1 species
CCCUAGUACAGUAUAAUGCCCUGAUCCAUGAGAAGAGUAGAACCCAAUAUUACAGGAGAACAAAACACACAAUCGAUAAUGUUCAUUGUCAGACAGGAGCCACCCAUGUGGCAGAUACCCAGCUCAUGUGGCAGCCUGCUGUGCCAUGAUGGCCCAGCUCUAUCUGACCAGCUCUGCUAUUCUCCAGGCUGCAUUUUGGCCCCUGACAUGGAAGAAGGCUCCUGCUUAUUGGAAUCAAGAAGGUACAUGGAGACCAAAGAGGGAUGCAGAGAGCCAACGCAUGACUUUCCGAGCCAACAAGAGCCAGGUGGCAAAGCAGCAGAGAGACGGCUUUCCCGCGGCUUCUAUAUCACUCCAGAAAUAGGUCGAAAAUUAGGAGAGCCGGCAACCUUGGACAGCAGAGAAAAGAAAACAGCCAACUAUUGUGUGCACAGCUUAAAUCUCCUCUAAUAGAACGAGGGUCCUCGGCUCUCUGGGCUGGGUGCCUUCUGGGAACACUGCUGAGUGCCACAGAAGAAAAGGGAGGAUUGUUUCCCAAAAUCAUCACUUGCAGUUCCUCCCGCCCCCAGCGUGGACCAGAAGAGAGCACUAGAUGAGCGCCAGGUGACAGUGCACUGGGCCUUUCUGCGUGCUCAUGGUAAAAUGAGGGCAAAGCUGCACUGUCCAAUACUGUAGCCGCCAGCCGCAUGUGGCUAUUUAAAUUCAAAUUAAUUUAAAUUAAAAAUUCAUUUCCCACAGCAAAGGAAACCAUUAGCAAAACGAAGAGACAACCAAACAGUUGAGAGAAGAUAUUUGCAAACCGUAUAUCAGAUAAGGGGUUAAUAUCUAAAAUAUACAAAGGACUCAUUCUUCUCAACAACGAAAAAACCAACAACCCAAUUAAAAAAUGGGCAAAAGAUCUGAACAGAGAUUCUCCAAAGAAGAUAUACGGAUGGCUAACAGGUACAUGAAAACAUGUUCAACAUCAUUAACUAUCAGGGAAAUCAAAACUACAAUGAGAUAUCACCUCACUCCAGUCAGAAUGGCUAUAAUUAACUAGACAGGAAACAACAGGUGUUGAAGAGGAUGUGGAGAGAGGGGAACCCUCAUACACUGCUGGUGGGAGUGCAAACUGGUGCAGCCACUAUGGAAAGCAGUAUGGAGUUUCCUCAGAAAAUUAAGGAUAGAUCUACUAUAUGAUCCAGCUAACCCACUGCUGGAUAUUUAUCCAAAGAACUUGAGAACACGAAUGCAUAAAGAUACAUACACCCCUAUGUUCAUUGCAGCAUUAAUCACAAUAGCCAACACUUGAAAGCAAGCUAGGUGCCCAUCAAGGGACGAAUGGAUAAAGAAGAUGUGGUGUAUAUAUAACAUGGAAUACUACUCAGCCAUAAGAAACGAUGAAACACUGCCAUUUGUGACAACAUGGAUGGACUUUGAGGGUAUUAUGCUGAGUGAAAUAAGUCAGAGGGAGAAAGUCAAAUACCAUAUGAUCUCACUCAUAAGUAUAAGAUAAAAACAACGACAAACAAACACAUAGCAACAGAGAUUGGAUUGGUGGUUACCAGAGGGGAAGGGGGAGGGAGGAGGGUAAAACGGGUGAUUAGGCUCACAUGUGGCGAUGGAUUGUAAUUAGUCUUUGGGUGGUGAACAUGAUGUAAUGUACACAGAAUUCAAAAUAUAUUAUGAUGUACAUCUGAAAGUUAGAUAAUGUUAUAACCCAAUGUUACUGCUAUAAAAACAAAAAUAAAAAUUUUUUUAGAAUUCC